rnacentral:rRNA from 1 species
CCUACGGGGGGCAGCAGUGGGGAAUAUUGCGCAAUGGGCGAAAGCCUGACGCAGCGACGCCGCGUGAGGGAUGAAGGUCUUCGGAUCGUAAACCUCUGUCAGCAGGGAAGAACGGUCACUGUGCUAAUCAGCAGUGAAUUGACGGUACCUGCAAAGGAAGCACCGGCUAACUCCGUGCCAGCAGCCGCGGUAAUACGUAGGUGGCAAGCGUUAUCCGGAUUUAUUGGGUGUAAGGGGCGUGUAGGCGGGAAUGCAAGUCAGAUGUGAAAACUAUGGGCUCAACCCAUAGCCUGCAUUUGAACCUGUAUUUCUUGAGUACCGGAGAGGUCAUCGGAAGUCCGUGUGUAGCGGUGAAAUGCGUAGAUAUAAGGAAGAACACCAGUGGCGAAGGCGGAUGACUGGACGGCAACUGACGGUGAGGCGCGAAAGCGUGGGGAGCAAUCAGGAUUAGAUACCCGUGUAGUC